GACGAACGCUGGCGGCGUGCUUAACACAUGCAAGUCGAACGGUAAGGCCCUUCGGGGUACACGAGUGGCGAACGGGUGAGUAACACGUGGGUGAUCUGCCCUGCACUUCGGGAUAAGCCUGGGAAACUGGGUCUAAUACCGGAUAGGACUCCUGGCUUCAUGGUUGGGGGUGGAAAGCUUUUGCGGUGUGGGAUGGGGCCGCGGCCUAUCAGCUUGUUGGUGAGGUAGGGGCUCACCAAGGCGACGACGGGUAGCCGGCCUGAGAGGGCGACCGGCCACACUGGGACGGAGACAGGGCCCAGACUCCUACGGGAGGAAGCAGUGGGGAAUAUUGCGCAAUGGGCGAAAGCCUGACGCAGCAACGCCGCGUGCGGGAUGACGGCCUUCGGGUUGUAAACCGCUUUCAGCAGGGAAGAAGCCGCAAGGUGACGGUACCUGCAGAAGAAGCACCGGCUAACUACGUGCCAGCAGCCGCCGUAA
rnacentral:rRNA from 1 species